CGAAACAAGCCACAGGCAGGACUUUUUCAGAGCAGGAUGAAGCCCACCAAUUGGAGGAGCAGAAACCAGUGCAUUGUAUGCCAUGUAUGAUUUCUUCUUUCUGUGGGGUUUGGAGUCAUCCAUUUGAGGAGCAGGACAGGUAACUGAUGUCACUGGUAGAGACGGUUUCACUGAAAAGCUGAAUAAACUUCAGCCCCAGGACCCCUCAUUUGCACAGGCUCAUGAGUGGGUGUUGCUGGGGGUGGC